CCGUAUUACGGUUUUGCACAGCUUUCAAACGGUUUCCAUAAAAUCAUUUCAUUCCGAUUGGUGAAAAACAAGUUCGCGAAAAAAGGCGAAAAGGCAUCGAAAACCAUUGUGGCAGAGUUACAGAAGGAGGUAUUAUUCUUGCCACAAUACUUCAGCGAAAAUUUAUCUGAGGAUGAGAUAAAUGAGCUGAAUGAAUGUAACGAGAGCAUAUAUCUAUAUUUCGGUGGACGGAAUGAAAAAACCAAGAGUUGGAUUCUGAAAAUAAUGUCAGCCGAUGAAAAAAAACAGGAGGAGAAGAAAAAGAAGGAGGAGGUGGAGAAAAAAAAGAAGGAAGCGGAGGAGGAGUGUUCUACGUCAAUGAGUGAUGAUGAACCGGUUCAAAAGAAGAAAAAGAAAAUUGGAAUUGUCCACGAAACUGAUUCGGAAUCAGAUUAGUGACAAAUUUUUAGAAAAGCACAUAAUCUUCGCAUCUGAAACCCCAAUGGUGAUGGACAAACUUAAACGAAAAAUCAAUCUUUGCAGCUGAAACCCCUAUGGUGAUGGACAAACUUAAACGAAAAAUUAACGAAUAAAAAAAAUACAAACAAUUAUAUUGAAAAUAUUUUAUUUAACCGUUCUUUACACAUUGUUUUGAUUAAAAAAAUAUUAAAUGCACACAUGCAAUACU